rnacentral:rRNA from 1 species
AUGGCUGCUGAACCCUCGGUCCCGGCCGGCUUCGGCACCAGGCCAUGGCUGGUGCAGGCAACGCGAGGGAAGCGGCAGACGUUCAUCGACUCAUCCGACGGAAGCUCGCACGCCGUGAUCGUUCCCGAGAUGCAAGGCAAGACGUGCCUAGGCUGCAUCCACAACGGCGACUGGCUGCUCAUGCUCGACGACUCCACCGCCGAAUGCUUCCUCCUCCGCCUCACCGAAGACGACGACCCUGCAGCCAACAAGAUCCCGCUGCCGCCGCUGCACGAGCCGUCGGAUGAGAUAGCGAGGUGCGCGACGCUCGGUACAUCACCGGCGCACCCAGACUGCGCCGUGGUGAUCGCCGUUGUACACGAGGUAGAAGACGGUGUGGAGAGGUUCCUGCUUCACUGUCGGCCCGGUGACUCGCAGUGGGCCAGGCUUGAGUCCCCGAAGAUCACUCUCCCAUACCUUAUGAUCGGCUAUAGAGGGAAGAUCUACUCUUUCGGGCUCACCGUGAUAGCCGACGACGACCGCCACGGCACGGUCCGAGCGCGACUCGUCGGCACUCUCGUUGGCGCUAAAGAGGUGCACGACAGGCCGCCCAUGUACUAUAUCGUGGAGUCGUGUGGGAAUCUCUUCAACGUAGUCACACAAUAUUUUGGGGACUUUGUCAACGACGGCACACUCACCAGCGUCGCCGUGUACCGCCUAGAUCUCGAGUCCCUCACCUGGACGAGGGUAGACAGCAUCGGCGGCGACCGCGCCUUCCUCAUCUCUGGGCGCUACGGCUUCUCUGUGCCCGUUCGUCCAGGGGCAGGGGGGGGCAACUGUGUGUACUUUGUGUUGUCGGGCUGCGACUGUGAGAGGUUAUACAAGUUUUGCUUGGACGACAACACCACCAGCUUCCAUCAGAUCCUUCCGCAACCUACCGAGCCUGGGUGCAGAGCAUUCUGGACUGUUCCGCCGUUGCCCUUGCCCACGGUGGUGGAAGAAACGGGACUGUUGUUGACCAACCGCCUCGUGCUAGAAGAGAGUUGUGAACCCAUCUUCAAGUUGAAGGAGGAGCAGGCAAACUCUUGGAAUACACGCCCGUGGCAUGAGUUGCCACUAGAACUGCUGGAGCUGGUCGUUUCAAGGCUUUCUUUGGUGGAUCGUCUCCGAUUCCCGGCAGUGUGUAAGUCAUGGAGCCUUGUGACUAACCCGGUUGAGCAAGCCAUUGUGUGGCCUUGGCUCCUGCACUCCUCCGGCCGAGAUGGGGCGUGCAAGCUGUUCGACCCUCUGCGUGGCCAGGAGUACAGCAUGCAUGUUGGAACAUUUGACACGGCCGAAAACGAACACGACGAGCAUAUUUUCCGAUUCUCGAAAGACGGAUGGGUAGCCAUGUCGGACAGCUCAGACAUUGAUGACAUGUACAUCAUAAAUCCCUUCACCGGGGACAUCGUGGAAAUGGCCAUACUCGAUUGGGAAUACAACUUCAUGGGCUUGUCGUGGUCCUCGAUGGACCCAGAAUCUCCGGACUGCAUUUUCUUUGCCGUGAAUAGCAGACAGGAUGGCAAAGCGGUCGGCGCCCUUACAUGGCGGCAUGGCGAGGCCAAGUGGUUUGAACGACAUCUCGAGUACUAUGAAGGGGAUCCAUUCCCAGUGGCAUACAACAACCCUGUCUUGUUCCACGACAAGUUCUAUUGCCUCGGGAGAAAGGGCAACCUUGGCACAUUUGACCCGGCAAGCGACACAUGGACGAUCUUGGAGAAGCCUAACCCGAUUCAUGUGGAGAUGGACCUCGAAGGUGACCACCACGAGGGGAGAGAGUUUUGCUACCUGGUUGAGCUGCGAGGGGAGCUGGUCUCCGUGUUCAUGCGUAACGCAGACCAGCCACCGCGGGUGUUCAAGCUCAACGAGGAGGAGAUGGCCUGGACGAAGGUGCAAGACAUCGGCGGCGCGGCCUUGUUUGUUGAUUUCAGAGUGUCAUACUCUGUGGUGUCACCAGAAGCUGGGCAUGGCAAUAGGAUCUACUUCCCAAGUUAUUCCGAGGAUGGCAAACAAGCCGCGUUCUACGAUAUGGAGACCAAGGCAUACCACCCAUCCUUCUAUGGUUUGAAGUCACCGUUGCAAUGUGUGUGGGUUGUGCCUAAUCUACGGCCACACACCGUAUCAAAAUAA